GUGAUAACUGUGUGUUUUCCCCUGUCCUCUCCAGGUGGUAUCUAUAACUCCUUAGUGAUAACUGUGUGUUUUCCCCUGUCCUCUCCAGGUGGUAUCUAUAACUCCUUAGUGAUAACUGUGUGUUUUCCCCUGUCCUCUCCAGGUGGUAUCUAUAACUCCUUAGUGAUAACUGUGUGUUUUCCCCUGUCCUCUCCAGGUGGUAUCUAUAACUCCUUAGUGAUAACUGUGUGUUUUCCCCUGUCCUCUCCAGGUGGUAUCUAUAACUCCUUAGUGAUAACUGUGUGUUUUCCCCUGUCCUCUCCAGGUGGUAUCUAUAACUCCUUAGUGAUAACUGUGUGUUUUCCCUGUCCUCUCCAGGUGGUAUCUAUAACUCCUUAGUGAUAACUGUGUGUUUUCCCCUGUCCUCUCCAGGUGGUAUCUAUAACUCCUUAGUGAUAACUGUGUGUUUUCCCCUGUCCUCUCCAGGUGGUAUCUAUAACUCCUUAGUGAUAACCGUGUGUUUUCCCCUGUCCUCUCCAGGUGGUAUCUAUAACUCCUUAGUGAUAACUGUGUGUUUUCCCCUGUCCUCUCCAGGUGGUAUCUAUAACUCCUUAGUGAUAACUGUGUGUUUUCCCUGUCCUCUCCAGGUGGUAUCUAUAACUCCUUAGUGAUAACUGUGUGUUUUCCCUGUCCUCUCCAGGUGGUAUCUAUAACUCCUUAGUGAUAACUGUGUGUUUUCCCUGUCCUCUCCAGGUGGUAUCUAUAACUCCUUAGUGAUAACUGUGUGUUUUCCCCUGUCCUCUCCAGGUGGUAUCUAUAACUCCUUAGUGAUAACCGUGUGUUUUCCCCUGUCCUCUCCAGGUGGUAUCUAUAACUCCUUAGUGAUAACUGUGUGUUUUCCCCUGUCCUCUCCAGGUGGUAUCUAUAACUCCUUAGUGAUAACUGUGUGUUUUCCCCUGUCCUCUCCAGGUGGUAUCUAUAACUCCUUAGUGAUAACUGUGUGUUUUCCCCUGUCCUCUCCAGGUGGUAUCUAUAACUCCUUAGUGAUAACCGUGUGUUUUCCCCUGUCCU